GUCUAAGUAGCUUAACAAA
rnacentral:tRNA from 1 species